UACGUAGGGGGCAAGCGUUGUCCGGAAUUAUUGGGCGUAAAGCGCGCGCAGGCGGCCAUUUAAGUCUGGUGUUUAAUCCUGGAGCUCAACUCCGGGUCGCACUGGAAACUGGGUGGCUUGAGUGCAGAAGAGGAGAGUGGAAUUCCACGUGUAGCGGUGAAAUGCGUAGAGAUGUGGAGGAACACCAGUGGCGAAGGCGACUCUCUGGGCUGUAACUGACGCUGAGGCGCGAAAGCGUGGGGAGCAAACAGG
rnacentral:rRNA from 1 species